AGGACAUAAAAGAAUGGAGAAUAAGCGAAUUGUAUACAAAUGGUAAGAGAAAGCAGCUUGAGCCUCAAUCUAUUCAUGAAAAAACAUCAGGUAAACUCACACUGUGGAGCAUUCUACAAAACGCCUGAGCAGUGCCGUUUAGAAGUGUCAAGGUCCUGUGAAACAAGGAAAGACUAAGAAACUGGCAGAGAUUGGAGGAGAUUAUGCAGAUGUGGCAAAUAAUACUCUGGAUUGCUACUGGAAUAGAACAAAGGAAAUUGACGGUCACAUGAAUUCCAAAAGCCCUUUGAAAAUGGUUUCUAUCAAAACAAGAGAAGUCAAGACAGAAGCAGAACUGUCAUCCAGGGAACAGAACACACAACACAGUAGAGAUUCAAAAGAAAGAGACAGAAAGAAAGAGACAGAAAGAAAGAGAUGAAAGAAGGAAAAGAAAGAAAGGAAGAAAAAGAAAGAUAAAAGAAAGAAAGAAAGAAGGGCAGAGAGAAAGAAAGAAAGAAAAGAAAGAAGGGAAGAGAGAAAGAAACAAAAAAAAAGAAAGAAAAGAAAAGAAAAAAGAAAGGAAAAGAAAAGAAAGAAGGAAGGAGGGAAGGAAGAGAAAAAGAGUCCCAAGAUUGCAGCAAAAUGGAGUAUCUGCGUGAUGGUUGUAUCGUAGGUCUGAAGUGCACAAAGAUCCUAUUUUAGUAGAAAGUCAGAUGUCACAAGUAGUCUUGAGAGUGGAAACAUGAAGCAUGCUUGAAAAUGAGAUGAAAGAUUUGGCAAUAUGGGAAAUUUUAAAAUGAGGCAUUUUACAGAAUUUCUGGAGUUUGUGUGGUGAUUUAUUUGUAAGUUCAAAGAAAAUCAAAUCAAACGGGGAGGGAUAGGAAUUUUUAACUCUUUAAGGUUUAAGAAACUUUAAGUUUUAAAGGAAGGAAAUGUAAUCAGAGUAGACUUCUUGGCUCAGCAGUGAGGAAUAUUUGAAAAAUCAUCACGGAAAUACUAAAUGAUUUUAAGUAAAAAUUUAGGCAUAAUUAUAUUGAGUGGAAACUGAAAGGUAUAAAUUAGCCAAAGAAUAAUAUUAUCUUACAGUAAGAAGUUUAAAUUGAUUAUGUAAUAUAUAAUAGUAUAUUCAUAUUAUUUGGAUCUAUGGAGAAAAUCACCAAAUGAAAUAGUUAAAUAUUAAAUGUGUUUGCCUUUGAGGUCAUAAAGAGACAAGAAACACUUUGGAAAAUAUAUGCAUUUCAGAAAUAGUUGACUUUUAAACUAGUUUUAUCAAAUAUAUUUGUUAAAUAUGAAUUUUAAAAGCAAUCUGGAUUAUAUUUCUGAUUAUUGAAAAUAUGUUCCGUAGUCACAUUCACUAAUAACUUAGUGUUUUCCACUAUUUUUUCUGAUAAAAUUAUUUGUAAUUGCUUACACCAUGGCAAUUUUCACAAUAUUAAUUCUAAAUUUUUGGAUGUUUUAUAUUUUGCUUCAUUUCAGUACUUCAGUUUAUUCCCCUCCAGCUCACAUGACUUAUUUUACCUUUGAAACAAGAUGAAUGUUUUAAAAAAUUCUGAGGAGCACAGCAGCUGGAAGACAAAAAUAACUUAUGGAGAAAUUUGAAAAAAGUCAUAUGGACAUACCAAUAGCCCAC